UCCUAGUUAACCUAGGCAGCCUCACUAGAGUACCCGGCUCUCCCGUUGGUAACUAAUGACAAGGGUUGCGCUCGUUGCGGGACUUAACCCAACAUCUCACGACACGAGCUGACGACAGCCAUGCAGCACCUGUGUGCAGAUUCUCUUUCGAGCACUCCCCGAUCUCUCGAGGAUUUCUGCCAUGUCAAGGGUAGGUAAGGUUUUUCGCGUUGCAUCGAAUUAAUCCACAUCAUCCACCGCUUGUGCGGGUCCCCGUCAAUUCCUUUGAGUUUUAAUCUUGCGACCGUACUCCCCAGGCGGUCUACUUCACGCGUUAGCUGCGUUACCAAGUCAAUUAAGACCCGACAACUAGUAGACAUCGUUUAGGGCGUGGACUAC
rnacentral:misc_RNA from 1 species